rnacentral:lncRNA from 1 species
CGGAGCAACUUUAAUUAAUCCACUCGGAAAAGGUCGCAAACAUGAUCGCUCGAGGAGAUCAUGAACCACGUUCAUCACUGGUAACUGACCUCGACCAAAUAGUUCUAGACCAUCAAAAAUCCCACACCUGAACCUGGUCCUAACUUUUCCAAACCAUCCCAAACUAGAAUGUACCGAAAUCUCGGGUCCAGUAGUAUCCACCACGUUGUGAC